rnacentral:rRNA from 1 species
AGAGUUUGAUCCUGGCUCAGAAUGAACGCUGGCGGCGUGCCUAACACAUGCAAGUCGGAUGUGCCGCAAGGUGCAUGGCAGACGGGUGAGUAACGCGUGGGCAAUCUACCUUUUAGUGGGGAAUAACGAUCCGAAAGGAUUGGUAAUACCGCAUGUGAUCAUCGACUGGGAUGUUGGUGAUGAAAGCCGGGGACCGCAAGGCCUGGCGCUAGGAGAGGAGCCCGCGUCUGAUUAGUUAGUUGGUGGGGUAACGGCCUACCAAGACAUCGAUCAGUAGCCGGCCUGAGAGGGUGAUCGGCCACACUGGAACUGAGACACGGCCCAGACUCCUACGGGAGGCAGCAGUGGGGAAUAUUGCACAAUGGGCGCAAGCCUGAUGCAGCAACGCCGCGUGAGGGACGACGGCCUUCGGGUUGUAAACCUCUUUUAGCAGGGAAGAAGCGAAAGUGACGGUACCUGCAGAAAAAGCACCGGCUAACUACGUGCCAGCAGCCGCGGUAAUACGUAGGGUGCAAGCGUUGUCCGGAAUUAUUGGGCGUAAAGAGCUCGUAGGCGGUUUGUCGCGUCUGCUGUGAAAACCCGAGGCUCAACCUCGGGCCUGCAGUGGGUACGGGCAGACUAGAGUGCGGUAGGGGAGAUUGGAAUUCCUGGUGUAGCGGUGGAAUGCGCAGAUAUCAGGAGGAACACCGAUGGCGAAGGCAGAUCUCUGGGCCGUAACUGACGCUGAGGAGCGAAAGCGUGGGGAGCGAACAGGAUUAGAUACCCUGGUAGUCC